GAUGAACGCUAGCGGCAGGCUUAAUACAUGCAAGUCGUGGGGCAGCAUGAAUGUAGCAAUACAUUUGAUGGCGACCGGCAAACGGGUGCGGAACACGUACACAACCUUCCUAUAAGUGGGGAAUAGCCCAGAGAAAUUUGGAUUAAUACCCCGUAACAUAACGAUGUGGCAUCACAUUGUUAUUAUAGCUUCGGCGCUUAUUGAUGGGUGUGCGGCUGAUUAGAUAGUUGGCGGGGUAACGGCCCACCAAGUCUACGAUCAGUAGCUGAUGUGAGAGCAUGAUCAGCCACACGGGCACUGAGACACGGGCCCGACUCCUACGGGAGGCAGCAGUAAGGAAUAUUGGUCAAUGGACGCAAGUCUGAACCAGCCAUGCCGCGUGAAGGAUUAAGGUCCUCUGGAUUGUAAACUUCUUUUAUCUGGGACGAAAAAAGGCUUUUCUAAGUCACUUGACGGUACCAGAUGAAUAAGCACCGGCUAACUCCGUGCCAGCCGCCGCAGUAAUAC
rnacentral:rRNA from 1 species